rnacentral:rRNA from 1 species
UACGUAGGAGGCAAGCGUUGUCCGGAAUCAUUGGGCGUAAAGAGCGUGUAGGCGGCCCGAUAAGUCCGCUGUGAAAGUCCAGGGCUCAACCCUGGAAAGCGGGUGGAUACUGCCGGGCUAGAAUCCGGAAGAGGCGAGUGGAAUUCCUGGUGUAGCGGUGGAAUGCGCAGAUAUCAGGAGGAACACCAAUAGCGAAGGCAGCUCGCUGGGACGGUAUUGACGCUAAGGCGCGAAAGCGUGGGGAGCAAACAGG